rnacentral:rRNA from 1 species
UGUUGGUAUCUUAGUGGCGGACGGGUGAGUAACGCGUGGGUAACCUGCCUUACACUGGGGGAUAACACUUAGAAAUAGGUGCUAAUACCGCAUAACAGGAGAAGAUGCAUGUCUUUUCCUUAAAAACUCCGGUGGUGUAAGAUGGACCCGCGUCUGAUUAGCUUGUUGGCGGGGUAACGGCCCACCAAGGCGACGAUCAGUAGCCGGCCUGAGAGGGUGAACGGCCACAUUGGGACUGAGACACGGCCCAAACUCCUACGGAAGGCAGCAG